rnacentral:rRNA from 1 species
CCAGCAGCCGCGGUAAUUCCAGCUCCAAUAGCGUAUAUUAAAGUUGUUGCAGUUAAAAAGCUCGUAGUUGGAUUUCUGGUUGCAGCGACCGGUCCGCGUCCUCUGGGCGUGUGCACUUGAGCGCUGCUUCCAUUCUCGCGGGGAACCGGUUGGGGCGAGAGUCCUGGCCGAGGAUCCGCGUCGUUUACUGUGAAAAAAUUAGAGUGUUUAAAGCAGGCUUAUGCCGUUGAAUAUAUUAGCAUGGAAUAAUAAGAUAGGACGUAGGUACUAUUUUGUUGGUUUGCGCACCCACGUAAUGAUUAAUAGAGACAGGCGGGGCUAUUCGUAUUGCAUUGUCAGAGGUGAAAUUCUUGGAUUUCUGCAAGACGAACUACUGCGAAAGCAUUUAGCAAGGAUGUUUUCAUUGAUCAAG